rnacentral:rRNA from 1 species
CAACUCUCAACAACGGAUAUCUUGGCUCCCGUAACGAUGAAGAACGCAGCGAAAUGCGAUACGUAGUGUGAAUUGCAGAAUUCCGUGAACCAUCGAAUCUUUGAACGCAAAUUGCGCUCGAGGCUUCGGCCAAGAGCAUGUCUGC